rnacentral:lncRNA from 1 species
CAGCACUUAGGCUGGAGUGCUUAGUCCCCAGGCUCUCUGAAUCAAGUUCUCGUGUGGUUGCAUAGGUUCUUGGGCUUUGGAAGCACAUAGAAAUUUCUUUAAUACCCUUAAAGUUAAUUCUAAUGGGCUGCAUUCAGACUGCAUCUUAUAGUCAUUUGGGGAGAGGACAGAAACAAGAAAAAGGCUUUCAUAGUAAGUUGUCUACAGAUGGCUUGGUACCGCUCAGACACUGCUGCAGACCUUCAUGCGCUGCAUCUUGUGCACAGUGAUGCAGUCACAGGUGCAAGCAGAGCUGGGAGUCCAGUGCAAUCCCAGACAUGAUUCACUGGCCUGGAGUUGUAUUUGGUUCCUCAGAACACUGCUGAAAUCACCUCUGGACCAUACUGAGUGGUUCAGCCAUGCUGUCAGAUAGAUGAACAACCACACAAUUUUGGAGACUCCUCACCACAUUUCCCAGUAGCAGCACGUGUCUCAGUUUCCAUGAACAGACUGCAGCUGGCAGAUGUGCUGGUGCCUGCCCAGUCCUCUCCACCUGGAGGUCAGAAGGAUUUCUCUUUAGGCUUUACACCAGGACUGUUUGCUGCACACUUUCUAUCAUCUGCUUCUUGACAUGCUAGUACACAGACCAGCUCUUCUGCCAUCUGGGAAAUAGCAGAUCUCCAGAGCAGGAGACCCAGAGGUCUGCUUUGUAACAAAACAAAACUGACCCAGAAAAUGUGUUAGCUAUUCUACAAAAUUCCGAAGGAAACAAGGUCAUUUAUUUCUAGUAUCAGUGCAGAAGGACAUGGGGGUUACCUGUGAGUUACAGAAGUACUUCUAGUGGUGUGUACAUUUUGAGAGUCUCCAUUCUCCACAAGGAAGUGAAAAAUAAAAGCAACUCACAAGGAACA